rnacentral:rRNA from 1 species
UACGGAGGGUGCAAGCGUUAUCCGGAAUUACUGGGUUUAAAGGAUGCGUAGGCGGGCUAAUAAGUCAGAAGUGAAAGCUCACGGCUCAACUGUGGAAUUGCUUUUGAUACUGUUAGUCUUGAAUUAGGUUGAGGUUGGCGGAAUGAGUCAUGUAGCGGUGAAAUGCAUAGAUAUGACUUAGAACACCAAUUGCGAAGGCAGCUGACUAGACCUUAAUUGACGCUGAGGCAUGAAAGCGUGGGGAGCGAACAGG